UUUUUCUACGUGGAACAAGCAGGGUCCCAGUUCAAGUUUCUGCUGCGUAUCUGAUAAUCUUGAGGUAUUUAUGAAGGACUCCUUUGAAAGUUCUCUACUGAGUUUCCUUAAGGAAUUCCUUAAGGAAUCCUUAAGGUAUGAGACCAAUUUGUUGAAUUGGACAGCUGGAAACAAGGAAGGGAAAAAGUAUUUCACUGAAAAGGCAGAAGACUGGCAUCAACUGCAAGCUGUGGAAUCAAGACAACUUUGGCUGAGUCCCAUUUUAUAUAGGACAAAAGGAGAGUGCUGUCCUCAAGGGCAAUAAUGCUUAUGAGAACAAAGAAGACUAUGGAGAAAUUUUAGGCAGUAGAAGAGAGCAGAAAGGCCAAGAGGAUCAGGGUUGAAGUAAGCUAUACAGCAAAUCAGGCAUUGCCCAAUUACCUAGGAAUUACAUUCAGGCAAAGCAGAAAUACCUGAAGCUAAUUGCUUAUACAACCAAAUAUUGAGAAGUAAAGAUAUUUUCAUCUAGAACAAUCCUAAAAAUCACUCUGGUUUCUAAAAGGCCAAAGGUAGUGGGCAGGUAUUCAAAGAAAGGGUUAUUUAUGAGAGAGGGCCUGACAUUUAAUCUAUUUAUGUAAGUGACAUCAAUACAUAUUGUCAAGUCUGGAUAUGACAUAAUUAAUCAUUAAUACAACCUAGUUGCAGAAGUUCUUUUUAAAAAUAGAGUUAUGUCUCAGAAUAAAGAAAGAUCCCUAGCUCCAA
rnacentral:antisense_RNA from 1 species